ACAUACCUACCAAAAAAUAAGAAUUUCUCCCGCAAUGCCAUAGGUCGUGCUUCUGCAGCAGUCUUGAAAGUAAAUAAUAAUAGAGAUGUUGCCUUGGUUAAAACUCUAAAAGCUGUUGGCUGCACAAUGGGUAAAAGUCUCGUGCUGCAGUAGCUCUGAAAAAAUACGUAAACUUGAAAUGUAUGAUAGUGCAUAUCAAAAAAGUUCAAAAGUAAAAUAUCGAAGGUUACAGGCUCGUAAAAGGCAGGCGAUUAAUUUCUCUGCUUCACAAAAGUAACCGAAUGACGGGUACAAAAAACAUCAGUUGGAACCAAAGCUUAGUCAGUUAACUAACUGCAAAGAGUUUGUUCCGCAGCCUGGUUGUAGUUUUUGGCCAGAUUAACAAGGUCAUAAUUCCCAUUUCUCUUUCAGCUAUUUCAGGAAAUAGUACAUGUACAAAUGUAUUAAUUUAUUUAGCUAUUUAUUUAUUUUUUAUGAUUACAGGACUAAUAAAUGUUAUAUAAAUUAUUGUGAUGAUAAAUCAAAAUCUUUUUCAGUAAUAUGCAUGUGCAUGUUGUUUUGAGUUGAAUUAUUUCUAUAAAUAAAGAGUUUGUUUCAUUUUAACUGUUUUGAAAUGGGAUAAAGGUCCAAGACAUUGAAACAUACCACACACAGCAUCAUACAUGCAAAUUUAGACACAUGUAUAUAUUGCAUAAAAAUUUGUGUUUCCUAUACUGCACACAUUAGUUGAAACUGAACAUACAAGGAAAUAAAAUAAAAUAAAAUAAAAUAAAAUCAUGUCCAUAUUUACUUCCAUUCUGUAAUUUUGCAACUAUUUUAGUUCUGUAGACUUUUUCUUUUACUUUUUGAUAUCCUAAUUUAUAAAUUUUGUAGUUUUUGUUUGAUUUGUUUGGUUUUUAUAUUGAGGAUUUCUUUUCACUCGUGCUUACUUCAGUUGGUUCAUGUGGUUGAUUGUCCCAAUUUCCUGACACAGGUAAAAAUACAUUUGUAAACAACAAGAGUUACUCCCCCUUCUAUGUAAAGUAAAAUGUAAACACUCGUGAAACCAGCCGUAAAUGUUUUACCUCAGGUUAAUAAACAUGCAUGUUUGUUUCAGUGUCUUGGAGGGUAAGAGGGAGGGCUUUUAUCCCAUUUUCAUUUUUUUGAGCAGUGUAAGAAACUUGUAUUUGAGUAAAUGAUUCGUGCAUAAUGAAAUGUGCAGUUGUCACCUCGGGGAGACUUAAAUUUUAGAAUUAAAAAUAUAACAAACCACAGUUUAAGAUGCAGCAUGCAGUUAGGAUAUGUUGUGCCAUGCAGUUCAUGAGUGGUGCAUUUUUGUGAAGCUACACAGACCUUACGGUGGUUAUUUAAAUCAUGGGGCUCAAAAAUUAUAUGGUCAGCAUUAACACACAAGGCAUUAUGACAGAGAUGGGAGGCAUCUAAAUUUCUAUCAAUAUCAAUUGUUUUUAGCUGCAACAUUUUUGACAAGCGUGCAACAUUCAUUUUUGUCCUUUUUCCAUUUGGAUAAGCCACAUUUAGCAUCCCUAACAUAUAAUUUCUUUUCCUCUGAAUGGCCCCUGUCCAGAUUUUACACGACCCAUUUCUGCAUCAAUGCAAUUUAACAACAGAAUAUUGGUAUAUUUUUGAUAAAAAUCAAAAGUUUGAGAAGCCAUUUUGUAUUGUUUUGAUUAAUUAGCACUAACAAAGAGUGUAACUGGACCUUGAUUUUCAGUCAGCUUUCAUCCUAAUAUUGUAGUCACUGAGCCAUGAAACACUCCAUCACCUUUGAAAUUAAAGUCACAAGAUGGGUCAAUAUGCGCAUUAGAUUCUCCAUUUAGAUCAGCUAAUGUCAGAUUCCACUUAUUUUGCAGUUUGUAUCCCUUCAGUACACAUUUCUGAACAAUUCUGUGAAGUUUUAGCCAUAUCUGAAAUAAAAAAGGUCAUUUUAAUACUUUUAGGUAGCAAUGUUAUAAACUGUUUAAUAUCAUUUUUAAGAAAGAAAAAAACACAAUAAGCAUAUGCUAUAAUUUUCAUUUUAAACAUUUGUUUUAACUUUUUUUGGUAUAACUGCAAUUCAUAAGCCUCUUUUUACCUUACAGACUUCUACAAAUCAUCUUUUUUGUUGAUAAAUCAUGAAAAUAUAGUGUUUUUCACUUAAAAACUAUCAGAUUUAAGAAAUUUUUCCACCCUGAGAAUCUUGUUUUCUAUUAUAUUUUUUUUUAUUGAAUAAAAAGCUCUAUAUCUUUGCAUUACUGUAAAGAUUAGUCAUAGACCUUUCCAAAACUAGUCUUGUUUUUAAAAUCCAUCAAGUAAUAAGAAUUUUAGAGUUUUCUUUGUAUGUGUCAUGAAAGUGGGAAAAAUGGGUUAUUUUUUGGUGAAGAGUACAUUGUGAGUCAUGGUUUUUGUGACGUCAUUGCAUUAUGACAUCAUAAUUAGAGUUGUACACAACUUACAGAGUGUAGUAAUUUUGAAAAAUGAAAGGAAAAAGAAACGAAACAAAUUUAAGGUUGGUAACCAAGCAUUUUUAUCACGUUAUGAUUCCCUAGCAACAAAUCAAGAUUGCAAUGGUGUUGCUCUCUCUACAGCUCCAUCUACACAGGUUUUAAAAAAUUCAUCUAUGCAAGUAUCAUCUGCAUCAUCUAAAAGUGAAUUUACUAAUUCAACUACAAAUGUAUUGCCAAAAAAACCCACUGAAUCCCUCUGGUUACCCCGCCUUACUGAAAAGGAUUUUAAAUUGUAUUCUAAAGAAAGUUAUGAUAAGAAGUCAUAUGUAGCACCUCAGACUGAAAAGUGUGCUACUACCGUGAAACUCCUUCGUCACAUAAAGUGUCUGAUGACUAUUUGGAUGAAUAUUUAGGGGAUAUAAAUACCAGAAUAGAACAGUGGAUAGAGAUUUAAAUAUUUUAAUGAUGAAUAAUCUAAUAAUCGUCAUAUAAAUGAAAGUCCACAUUGUAAUGUUCCACAUUUUGAACUUGUGCAAGAGACUCAGUGGGGUCUCGGUGGAUUUGGGAAUUAAAAUGUACAAAGUGUAAGUUUAUAUCAAAAAAUAUAAACUGUUUAGAGAAAUUGAGACUGGGCGUCCUGGCCGCAAGAGUGCCAGCAUAAACUAUGGGUUUCAAACUGGUGUAAUAAACUCUAACAUAGGUAAUGAUAGCGCGCGAGUACUUUUGACCAGUUCGUGUAUUCCUCCUAUGGCAAGAACAACAAUGCAAAGAAUAACCAAUAAUGUAUGUGACAAGGUUGUUAAACUUGCUAAUGAGGAAAACAAAAGGUGGUUGAGAAUUUUAAAAGGAGAAAUGAAACCUUGGGGUUAAAUAAAAAUAGUCCAAUAAAAUUACAAAUGGAUGGUACUUACCAGAGUGUUUAUAUUAAAAGUAGACAUAAAAUGGGUCAAAAUGCCUCACAAGCAAUUGCAUUGCCUGUGAGAAUGAAACUGACAGUCAUGAUGUUAUAGGACUUCACUUAAUAAACAAACUAUGCUGGGUCGGUGCAUGGUUACGGGUAAAGGUUAUGAUGUUGAAUGUCCUAACCAUGAGCAUUGUACAGCAAAUACCAAUAGGUAGAUCCUUUGAGUGAAAAGAGUCUAGGGUAUGAAAUAGGUAAAAAAAUUGCCACAAAUGAGUUACUUGUAGAUUAUUGCACUACUGAUGGUGAUGCAAAAAGUGUAAAAGGUUUACAAGAGGCCAUGCAAGAGGUAUUUGGUCCUUAUGGUCGGUUAACAGACUUGCCGAUACAUUCAUAGGGUCAAAGUCAGUUCCGUGAAGGAAUUCGAGCAAAUUUUAGUGUGGUAUGUUCCCUGGUGUAACAAAAGCUCAGAAAAAUGAUAUAAAAACAGCUUUUGCAAAUGAUAUAAAACUAAGGUCGCAUGGUAUAAUGAAAUCAUUAUUUAUGAAGUACAAUGUGACCGACAACAAAUUUCAAAAUGCUUGCCUGGUAUUGUUCGGUCUGUGGUAAAUUGCUACAGUGGUAAUUGCGGUGAUACGUGUAGAUGGAGCAUAACACUUUGUAAUGGUGGUAAAAAAACAAGCUGGUGUAUAAAUCAAUAAACCUAAAUAGCCAUGGCUUACAAAAUGGGUCUCUGAUACCAACUGACAGAGACAAAUUAUUAAUAGAAUCAUUGCUAGAGAUGAACUCUCGCAGAGUGCGUUAGAUCAAAUGAAAUUUUUCAGUAACACUAACAAGUGUGAGUCUGUAAAUAGGACUAUUUCCACAUACCUACCAAAAAAUAAGAAUUUCUCCCGCAAUGCCAUAGGUCGUGCUUCUGCAGCAGUCUUGAAAGUAAAUAAUAAUAGAGAUGUUGCCUUGGUUAAAACUCUAAAAGUGUUGGCUGCACAAUGGGUAAAAAGUCUCGUGCUGCAGUAGCUCUGAAAAAAAUACGUAAACUUGAAAUGUAUGAUAGUGCAUAUUCAAAAAAGUUCAAAAGUAAAAUAUCGAAGGUUACAGGCUCGUAAAAGGCAGGCGAUUAAUUUUCUGCUUCACAAAAGUAACCGAAAUGACGGUACAAAAAACAUCAG
rnacentral:lncRNA from 1 species